UUUUUUUUGUAUUUGUGAUUGUGUUUGUAUUUGAGAAAUUGCUUGCUAACAUGUGUGUGUAUUUGCGAACCUUUUCUUCUCGUUGUUUUCAUUUGGUGAUUGGGAUAAUUUUGGGAUUAAGGAAGCUGAAAUGGAUAAUUGAAUUGGUGACAUGGAAGGAUAGGGAAGCUGGAGUGAAAAUGGCGACUUCACCAUAUGAGGAGCCACAGAGCAAAAUAAUAGAAGAGAAUGCUAAAAGGAUGGAAUCAUUCUUAUGAGUAUGAUUCUAGCUCUUUGUAUAUUAUGAUUGACCUUUUCAUCUCUUUCUUAUUAAUUCCACUUAAUUCUAGCUCUUUGUUUAUUUUCUGUUACUUAUAGUAUGUUCUUGCUGUUGUUGCUGCAUAAGUUUCUGGUUUUUGUGCUUCUCACUAUGUUUCUGGUUGCUUCACAGUUCUGUUUCUGAAGUCUGAAUGCGAACCCUCUGCGAGACCACCGUGAGGCAACACGAAAUUUGUUUGCUACCACAGCAUCACUAUCUUCAAUCAAUGGCUCCAGGUGCAGUGGGAGAUGUGAUUCCAGACGGAGCUUAAUUUUGUUGCCCUUAUUUAUUGUCAUUUGUGUGUGCUAUAGGUCUGGGGUUUUUGAUGAUUGAGUCCAUUCGUUUUUUUAAGUAUCCUAAUAGUUAUGUUUUUCCAGGUUACCGAAUAAGAAGAGUCAAGAAGAUGGUAGCACUAAUUAAGGAUUAUGAAGCAACAUCAAUAACUAGGAAAUGUUUAGAUAUUUUAAGAACUUAUUUUGCCAUAAUGUUUUGUAUGUUUAACCACUAUAAUAAUGUUUAUGUUUUAGUUUUUCAAUGUUUGAACUACAUUGAUUUUUUUUACGUUGGGAACUUCAAGUACUUUAAUUAAUUUUUUGAUGUAUGGAUGUUGUCACUACUGAAUGAAUUAUAUAAAUGAGAUUAAGUUAUUUAUAUUUAUAUAUUUGUGCAUUUUAAUUUCUUUACUCUUGUAUGGAUAUGUAUUUGUUAUUUAAUAAGCCACUAAAAUGUUUUAAAUUAUUAUAUUUUUUUUAAAAAAAAAACUGUUUGCGACGGUUUUAAAACCGUUGCAAGUUCUGCUAUUAAAUUCAGUCUUACGUGGAAAAAAACAUUGCGACAGUUUGAAACUGUUGUAACGACGGUUUUCAAAACUGUUGCAAAGUUCUCUUGCG
rnacentral:lncRNA from 1 species